rnacentral:rRNA from 1 species
UACGUAGGUGGCAAGCGUUGUCCGGAAUUAUUGGGCGUAAAGCGCGCGCAGGCGGUCCUUUAAGUCUGAUGUGAAAGCCCACGGCUCAACCGUGGAGGGUCAUUGGAAACUGGGGGACUUGAGUGCAGGAGAGAAGAGUGGAAUUCCACGUGUAGCGGUGAAAUGCGUAGAUAUCAGGAGGAACACCGAUGGCGAAGGCAGGUCUCUGGGCUGACACUGACGCUAAUGCGCGAAAGCGUGGGGAGCAAACAGG